rnacentral:piRNA from 1 species
UCCACAGACAUGCGACAGGCAAAACACCCGC